rnacentral:rRNA from 1 species
UACGUAGGGUGCAAGCGUUAAUCGGAAUUACUGGGCGUAAAGCGUGCGCAGGCGGUUUUGUAAGACAGAUGUGAAAUCCCCGGGCUCAACCUGGGAACUGCAUUUGUGACUGCAUCGCUGGAGUGCGGCAGAGGGGGAUGGAAUUCCGCGUGUAGCAGUGAAAUGCGUAGAUAUGCGGAGGAACACCGAUGGCGAAGGCAAUCCCCUGGGCCUGCACUGACGCUCAUGCACGAAAGCGUGGGGAGCAAACAGG